GACGUAGGGCGCGAGCGUUGUCCGGAUUUAUUGGGCGUAAAGAGCUCGUAGGCGGCUCAUCGCGUCUGCCGUGAAAACCUGUGGCUCAACUACAGGCUUGCGGUUGAUACGGGUGGGCUGGAGUUCGGUAGGGGAGACUGGAAUUCCUGGUGUAGCGGUGAAAUGCGCAGAUAUCAGGAGGAACACCGAUGGCGAAGGCAGGUCUCUGGGCCACUACUGACGCUGAGAAGCGAAAGCAUGGGGAGCGAACAGG
rnacentral:rRNA from 1 species